rnacentral:rRNA from 1 species
GUAGGGAAUCUUCCACAAUGGACGAAAGUCUGAUGGAGCAACGCCGCGUGAGUGAAGAAGGUCUUCGGAUCGUAAAACUCUGUUGUUAGAGAAGAACGUGCGUGAUAGUAACUGAUCAUGUAAUGACGGUAUCUAACCAGAAAGCCACGGCUAACUACGUGCCAGCAGCCGCGGUAAUACGUAGGUGGCAAGCGUUGUCCGGAUUUAUUGGGCGUAAAGGGAACGCAGGCGGUUUUUUAAGUCUGAUGUGAAAGCCUUCGGCUUAACCGAAGAAUAGCAUUGGAAACUGGAAGACUUGAGUGCAGAAGAGGAGAGUGGAAUUCCAUGUGUAGCGGUGAAAUGCGUAGAUAUUAGGAGGAACACCAGUGGCGAAGGCGGCUUUCUGGACUGUAACUGACACUGAGGCACGAAAGCGUGGGGAGCAAACAGGAUUAGAUACCCUGUAGUC